GCUUCUUCACACCCCGAUCUCGCAUAAAUGAACCAAUAACAAUUGCAUUAGAGAUUGCCGUGGCGACUACGAUUUCGAGAGAGGAAAAUAGAGAGCGGUAUUGUUGGUUUCCCUGACAUUGAAUCACUGCCGGUACACGAUAACAGACAUCGUCGAAACAACGAUGAUAGGAAUUGGGAAAGCGACAAGCAGCAUAUCUGUUGCGGCAUCGCAGGCACCCAUGGCCACCAGCAAAUGUAGCCACAAGAAAAAGGCAGAUAAAAUUCAACAUCAACUGAAAGGAACGUCGCCAAGUCUGCGCGGUGAGUCGCGUAAGGAAUUCAGUAAUGGUAUAUUUGGCAGUCCAGAUGCUGGGAACUUGGAAAUUAGCUGAGAAGCUACUUUUUGAAGCGGAAUUGAAUUUGCAGGAGUAGCGGCGAAGAAAUGCUCAUGAGAGAUUGCUGAGAUCUUACAAGAGUGAAUAGAAUAUCCUUGCUCCCAAAACCAGCUCGCUUCCAAUCUCCCGCUGGCGAAUCUGAAUGUCUGAAAGAUUUGUGUCAAUUACGUUGUUCGUGCCGUAAAUCAGAACCAAAUGGACUAGUCCC
rnacentral:sRNA from 1 species